GACGAACGCUGGCGGCGUGCCUAAUACAUGCAAGUUGAGCGCUGAAGGUUGGUACUUGUACCAACUGGAUGAGCAGCGAACGGGUGAGUAACGCGUGGGGAAUCUGCCCUUGAGCGGGGGACAACAUUUGGAAACGAAUGCUAAUACCGCAUAAAAACUUUAAACACAAGUUUUAAGUUUGAAAGAUGCAAUUGCAUCACUCAAAGAUGAUCCCGCGUUGUAUUAGCUAGUUGGUGAAGUAAGGGCUCACCAAGGCGAUGAUACAUAGCCGACCUGAGAGGGUGAUCGGCCACAUUGGGACUGAGACACGGCCCAAACUCCUACGGGAGGCAGCAGUAGGGAAUCUUCGGCAAUGGACGAAAGUCUGACCGAGCAACGCCGCGUGAGUGAAGAAGGUUUUCGGAUCGUAAAACUCGGUUGGUAGAGAAGAACGUUGGUGAGAGUGGAAAGCUCAUCAAGUGACGGUAACUACCCAGAAAGGGACGGCUAACUACGUG
rnacentral:rRNA from 1 species